rnacentral:rRNA from 1 species
UACAGAGGUGGCAAGCGUUGUUCGGAAUUACUGGGCGUAAAGGGUGCGUAGGUGGCCUGACAAGUUAUCAGUGGCAAAUCGAGGCUCAACCUCGUGGAAACUGGUAAUACUGUCCGGCUUGAGUACAGGAGAGGUUAACGGAACUCUAUGUGGAGCGGUAAAAUGCAAAGAUAUAUAGAAGAACAUCAAUAACGGCGAAGGCAGUUAACUAUUCUGUUACUGACACUGAGGCACGAAAGCGUGGGGAGCAAAACGG